rnacentral:rRNA from 1 species
UACGAAGGGUGCUAGCGUUGUUCGGAAUCACUGGGCGUAAAGCGCGCGUAGGUGGCUUUGCAAGUCAGAGGUGAAAUCCCCAGGCUCAACCUGGGAACUGCCUUUGAAACUGCAAAGCUAGAGUGUCGGAGGGGAUAGCGGAAUUGCUAAUGUAGAGGUGAAAUUCGUAGAUAUUAGCAGGAACACCGGUGGCGAAGGCGGCUAUCUGGACGACAACUGACACUGAGGCGCGAAAGUGUGGGGAUCAAACAGG